GGAGGGGUCGCAUAGUCCGGCCUAGUGCACAUGCUUGGAGAGCAUGAGUCCCCGUUAGGGGACCGUGUGUUCGAAUCCCACCCCCUCCGCCA
rnacentral:tRNA from 1 species